AAACCCAGUAUCCAUUCUCUGAAGUGCAGGGAAAAGGAGAUAAUUAUCUUUCCAUCCAGGUGAUGGACCGUAUACUCCCUGCAGACAUAUCACUUGCAGGCUCAAGAACUGUGAGAAAGGGAGAAGGUGUGGAGUUUAAGUGUACUAUUUCAGACCCCAGUUUUCAAACAAAAAAGACCAGUGACUUAGUUCACUCUUACCUCUGCAAGUUUGGCUCUGUUGUUCAGAUCCAGGUGUUUGACGUAAAGAGCAUGGAGGCUAAGUUUACGAUUAAAAGUUUUUUAAAGAAUGACACAGGCAACUACAGUUGUGUGCUUGACCUGCAAUCAAAACCCCUCACAGAUAAAGACAAAAGAUUAUAUGGAAAUAAUGCAGUAUUUCUACAGGUUGAUGUGUCCUGGAGUCACUUAAUCCCACUCGUGUACUGUGUCUGUUUUCUUCUGAUCUUAUCACUGAUAGUGGGCAUAUGGUGGCUGUUCAUAAAACAAGACGGAACGUCAAAUGUGGAGGAAGAAUCCAGUGAUGAAUUUGCCUUUGACAGUGUGGCCGGUGGGGAGGAGUCCCAGGAUAUUGGUGAUGAGAUUGAUACAAACCAUGACAUGGUGGAUGCCACGUACCAAGAAAUUCUGGUUGAAACACGGAAAAUUAAACACGUUAUAGCACGUAUUCGAGAUGCAGCAAACCAAGGCCCAUAUACAGAAGUUGUGUAUGCCAAGUCAUGCAAGAAGAAAAGACGCCAUCAAUACAUGCCUUAAUCGUCAUUAGAUCGGCAUUAGUUCAAAGCAGUAGUGCAUGUGUACUUCAUGGUUUACAGUAUCUAUAAUAUAUACAGUAUACAGUAUCUUCUGUAUUUUAUGUGUUGUGUAUUCAAUGUGUUGGACUACUCCCUGCAUGUUCAAGUUGACGAUGAUGCCAAAUUGUUUUGUGACCUGUUUGCGGUGCAUUGUAUUACAUCUUCAGUGGGAGUAAUAAACAUUUUUUG
ensembl:lncRNA